GGUUAAGCGACUAAGCGUACACGGUGGAUGCCCUGGCAGUCAGAGGCGAUGAAGGACGUGCUAAUCUGCGAUAAGCGUCGGUAAGGUGAUAUGAACCGUUAUAACCGGCGAUUUCCGAAUGGGGAAACCCAGUGUGUUUCGACACACUAUCAUUAACUGAAUCCAUAGGUUAAUGAGGCGAACCGGGGGAACUGAAACAUCUAAGUACCCCGAGGAAAAGAAAUCAACCGAGAUUCCCCCAGUAGCGGCGAGCGAACGGGGAGCAGCCCAGAGCCUGAAUCAGUGUGUGUGUUAGUGGAAGCGUCUGGAAAGGCGCGCGAUACAGGGUGACAGCCCCGUACACAAAAAUGCACAUGCUGUGAGCUCGAUGAGUAGGGCGGGACACGUGGUAUCCUGUCUGAAUAUGGGGGGACCAUCCUCCAAGGCUAAAUACUCCUGACUGACCGAUAGUGAACCAGUACCGUGAGGGAAAGGCGAAAAGAACCCCGGCGAGGGGAGUGAAAAAGAACCUGAAACCGUGUACGUACAAGCAGUGGGAGCCUCUUUAUGGGGUGACUGCGUACCUUUUGUAUAAUGGGUCAGCGACUUAUAUUCUGUAGCAAGGUUAACCGAAUAGGGGAGCCGAAGGGAAACCGAGUCUUAACUGGGCGUUAAGUUGCAGGGUAUAGACCCGAAACCCGGUGAUCUAGCCAUGGGCAGGUUGAAGGUUGGGUAACACUAACUGGAGGACCGAACCGACUAAUGUUGAAAAAUUAGCGGAUGACUUGUGGCUGGGGGUGAAAGGCCAAUCAAACCGGGAGAUAGCUGGUUCUCCCCGAAAGCUAUUUAGGUAGCGCCUCGUGAAUUCAUCUCCGGGGGUAGAGCACUGUUUCGGCAAGGGGGUCAUCCCGACUUACCAACCCGAUGCAAACUGCGAAUACCGGAGAAUGUUAUCACGGGAGACACACGGCGGGUGCUAACGUCCGUCGUGAAGAGGGAAACAACCCAGACCGCCAGCUAAGGUCCCAAAGUCAUGGUUAAGUGGGAAACGAUGUGGGAAGGCCCAGACAGCCAGGAUGUUGGCUUAGAAGCAGCCAUCAUUUAAAGAAAGCGUAAUAGCUCACUGGUCGAGUCGGCCUGCGCGGAAGAUGUAACGGGGCUAAACCAUGCACCGAAGCUGCGGCAGCGACACUAUGUGUUGUUGGGUAGGGGAGCGUUCUGUAAGCCUGUGAAGGUGUGCUGUGAGGCAUGCUGGAGGUAUCAGAAGUGCGAAUGCUGACAUAAGUAACGAUAAAGCGGGUGAAAAGCCCGCUCGCCGGAAGACCAAGGGUUCCUGUCCAACGUUAAUCGGGGCAGGGUGAGUCGACCCCUAAGGCGAGGCCGAAAGGCGUAGUCGAUGGGAAACAGGUUAAUAUUCCUGUACUUGGUGUUACUGCGAAGGGGGGACGGAGAAGGCUAUGUUGGCCGGGCGACGGUUGUCCCGGUUUAAGCGUGUAGGCUGGUUUUCCAGGCAAAUCCGGAAAAUCAAGGCUGAGGCGUGAUGACGAGGCACUACGGUGCUGAAGCAACAAAUGCCCUGCUUCCAGGAAAAGCCUCUAAGCAUCAGGUAACAUCAAAUCGUACCCCAAACCGACACAGGUGGUCAGGUAGAGAAUACCAAGGCGCUUGAGAGAACUCGGGUGAAGGAACUAGGCAAAAUGGUGCCGUAACUUCGGGAGAAGGCACGCUGAUAUGUAGGUGAGGNNNNNNNNNNNNNNNNNNNNNNNNNNNNNNNNNNNNNNNNNNNNNNNNNNNNNNNNNNNNNNNNNNNNNNNNNNNNNNNNNNNNNNNNNNNNNNNNUCGCGGAUGGAGCUGAAAUCAGUCGAAGAUACCAGCUGGCUGCAACUGUUUAUUAAAAACACAGCACUGUGCAAACACGAAAGUGGACGUAUACGGUGUGACGCCUGCCCGGUGCCGGAAGGUUAAUUGAUGGGGUUAGCGGUAACGCGAAGCUCUUGAUCGAAGCCCCGGUAAACGGCGGCCGUAACUAUAACGGUCCUAAGGUAGCGAAAUUCCUUGUCGGGUAAGUUCCGACCUGCACGAAUGGCGUAAUGAUGGCCAGGCUGUCUCCACCCGAGACUCAGUGAAAUUGAACUCGCUGUGAAGAUGCAGUGUACCCGCGGCAAGACGGAAAGACCCCGUGAACCUUUACUAUAGCUUGACACUGAACAUUGAGCCUUGAUGUGUAGGAUAGGUGGGAGGCUUUGAAGUGUGGACGCCAGUCUGCAUGGAGCCGACCUUGAAAUACCACCCUUUAAUGUUUGAUGUUCUAACGUUGACCCGUAAUCCGGGUUGCGGACAGUGUCUGGUGGGUAGUUUGACUGGGGCGGUCUCCUCCUAAAGAGUAACGGAGGAGCACGAAGGUUGGCUAAUCCUGGUCGGACAUCAGGAGGUUAGUGCAAUGGCAUAAGCCAGCUUGACUGCGAGCGUGACGGCGCGAGCAGGUGCGAAAGCAGGUCAUAGUGAUCCGGUGGUUCUGAAUGGAAGGGCCAUCGCUCAACGGAUAAAAGGUACUCCGGGGAUAACAGGCUGAUACCGCCCAAGAGUUCAUAUCGACGGCGGUGUUUGGCACCUCGAUGUCGGCUCAUCACAUCCUGGGGCUGAAGUAGGUCCCAAGGGUAUGGCUGUUCGCCAUUUAAAGUGGUACGCGAGCUGGGUUUAGAACGUCGUGAGACAGUUCGGUCCCUAUCUGCCGUGGGCGCUGGAGAACUGAGGGGGGCUGCUCCUAGUACGAGAGGACCGGAGUGGACGCAUCACUGGUGUUCGGGUUGUCAUGCCAAUGGCACUGCCCGGUAGCUAAAUGCGGAAGAGAUAAGUGCUGAAAGCAUCUAAGCACGAAACUUGCCCCGAGAUGAGUUCUCCCUGACUCCUUGAGAGUCCUGAAGGAACGUUGAAGACGACGACGUUGAUAGGCCGGGUGUGUAAGCGCAGCGAUGCGUUGAGCUAACCGGUACUAAUGAACCGUGAGGCUUAACCUU
rnacentral:rRNA from 1 species